GUGGGGGKGGSYUUWAMCAUGGCAAGUCGAGCGGUAAGGCCUUUCGGGGUACACGAGCGGCGAACGGGUGAGUAACACGUGGGUGAUCUGCCCUGCACUUCGGGAUAAGCCUGGGAAACUGGGUCUAAUACCGGAUAUGACCUCCUAUCGCAUGGUGGGUGGUGGAAAGAUUUAUCGGUGCAGGAUGGGCCCGCGGCCUAUCAGCUUGUUGGUGGGGUAAUGGCCUACCAAGGCGACGACGGGUAGCCGACCUGAGAGGGUGACCGGCCACACUGGGACUGAGACACGGCCCAGACUCCUACGGGAGGCAGCAGUGGGGAAUAUUGCACAAUGGGCGAAAGCCUGAUGCAGCGACGCCGCGUGAGGGAUGACGGCCUUCGGGUUGUAAACCUCUUUCAGCAGGGACGAAGCGCAAGUGACGGUACCUGCAGAAGAAGCACCGGCUAACUACGUGCCAGCAGCCGCGGUAAUACGUAGGGUGCAAGCGUUGUCCGGAAUUACUGGGCGUAAAGAGUUCGUAGGCGGUUUGUCGCGUCGUUUGUGAAAACCAGCAGCUCAACUGCUGGCUUGCAGGCGAUACGGGCAGACUUGAGUACUGCAGGGGAGACUGGAAUUCCUGGUGUAGCGGUGAAAUGCGCAGAUAUCAGGAGGAACACCGGUGGCGAAGGCGGGUCUCUGGGCAGUAACUGACGCUGAGGAACGAAAGCGUGGGUAGCGAACAGGAUUAGAUACCCUGGUAGUCCACGCCGUAAACGGUGGGCGCUAGGUGUGGGUUCCUUCCACGGAAUCCGUGCCGUAGCUAACGCAUUAAGCGCCCCGCCUGGGGAGUACGGCCGCAAGGCUAAAACUCAAAGGAAUUUGACGGGGGGCCCGCACAAGCGGCGGAGCAUGUGGAUUUAAWUUCGAUGCAACGCGAAGAACCUUUACCUGGGGUUUUGACAUAUUACCGGAAAGCUUGCAGAGAUGUGGCCCCCCCUUGUGGUUCGGUAUACAGAUGGUGCAUGGACUGUUCGCUCAAGCUUCGAUGCUCCGUUGCAGAUUGCUUGCGUUUAAGUUUCCCCCGGCA
rnacentral:rRNA from 1 species